AAAGGAAAUGAGUAACCAUUAGCUGGUGAGGAAGAAAGGAAAGCCAGAGGAGGAGUGAAGUAAUGUACGGGGAGCAUUGCCAGGAUUGGAAGGAUGGAAGACUCUGCCAGAUAUAAGACCUUCAGCCUACUCCAUCCAAGGCAUCCAUCUGUCUUCAGAAGAGAUUAGAAUUUUGUUCUGAAGCCAUGCAAAGAGUAAGACCAAGUGCUAACAUCCAAUUUGCAUGUGCCGGGAGAGAAAAUUCUUCAUGGAUCUCUGGUGCUCCUACACAUCUCACUGAUGGAUUUCUUGUCUAAAUGAAGAGAAGCAGCUCUUCCCCAUGGAUGAUCAUCAAAAACCAUAAGGUGUUUCAGGAUAUCACGGUCUUUGAUGUCUUCUUCUCA
rnacentral:lncRNA from 1 species